GACGAACGCUGGCGGCGUGCCUAAUACAUGCAAGUCGAACGCAGUGGGGACGGGUGAGUAACACGUGGGUAACCUCCCAUCAGAGGGGAUAAAACUUGGAAACAGGUGCUAAACCGAUACUGAUGGAUGGACCCGCGGGGCAUUAGCUAGUUGUGGAGGUAACUGCUCACAAAGGCCACGAUCCAUAGCCGGCCUGAGAGGUUGAUCGGCAACACUGGGACUGAGACACGGCCCAGACUCCUACGGGAGGCAGCAGUGGGGAAUCUUCGGCAAUGGACGAAAGUCUGACCUAGCAACGCCGCGGGAGUGAAGAAGGUUUUCGGAUCGUAAAACGCUGGUGUUAGAGAAGCGGUAUCUAACCAGAAAGCCACGGCUAACUACGUGCCAGCCGCCGCGGUAAUAC
rnacentral:rRNA from 1 species